rnacentral:rRNA from 1 species
UGGGGAAUAUUGGACAAUGGGCGCAAGCCUGAUCCAGCCAUGCCGCGUGAGUGACGAAGGCCUUAGGGUUGUAAAGCUCUUUUGGCGGGGAAGAUAAUGACGGUACCCGCAGAAUAAGCUCCGGCUAACUUCGUGCCAGCAGCCGCGGUAAUACGAAGGGAGCUAGCGUUGUUCGGAAUCACUGGGCGUAAAGCGCACGUAGGUGGGUGACUAAGUUAGGGGUGAAAGCCCAAGGCUCAACCUUGGAAUUGCCUCUAAUACUGGUCAUCUAGAGUCCGAGAGAGGUGGGUGGAAUUCCUAGUGUAGAGGUGAAAUUCGUAGAUAUUAGGAAGAACACCGGUGGCGAAGGCGGCCCACUGGCUCGGUACUGACACUGAGGUGCGAAAGCGUGGGGAGCAAACA